AGGGCUCCUACUUGUGACGAUUGGAAUUCUCAGAGCUUCUUCUUCCUUCCUUGACGUGAACGGCGCGGCGGCGUGACUCUCCGAUUGCUCUCUCUCCGUUCGUUUCUCGUUCGAUCUCAACUCGAUGCCACUCCGAGCGAACGGCUAGUUCAUGCGAUGGAGAUGAUGAACGUUGUUGUUGUGGGCGCGGAUUCGCGGAUGAGUAUCAUGAAGAUUGUUAAAUCGUGUUUGAGACGAGAGCGAAGACGAAGAUUGAAGUGUGGAUGAUGCGUGAACACGGUUCAGAGGAGCGUUGUUCUUCGUGGUUGUUUGUAGAGGAAGCGAUGAAGAACGUAGAGAGAGAUUGAAGAUGGUUCAGUGGUGGCUUUUUGAUGAGUUGGGGAAGAUAAUGAUUGAAGACUGAAGAAGCUUGCGUGUGGAGAUUGAACAGAAUAGAGAGGGAAUUGGAGAUGGAUUAAGGUUCCACGAGGGAGUUUUGAAAGAUGAAGAAGAAAGUGAUGGUGUGAGUCUAGAGAGAAGGUGUAAGAGUUGAAGGUUGGUGGUGAAGAAAAUAUAGUGGGCCUUUGUUCAAUUUCAUAACUGUUUUGGAAAUGGCAUGAGGUGGGAGUAGUUAUAUGGGACUGAUUUGAUUUUGGUGUUUGAAUGCAGCUUUGGGCUUGGCAGCAGCAGCCGUGGGU